rnacentral:rRNA from 1 species
GAUGAACGCUGGCGGCGUGCCUAAUACAUGCAAGUCGAGCGAACGGACGAGAAGCUUGCUUCUCUGAUGUUAGCGGCGGACGGGUGAGUAACACGUGGAUAACCUACCUAUCAGACUGGGAUAACUUCGGGAAACCGUAGCUAAUACCGGAUAAUAUUUUGAACCGCAUGGUUCAAAAGUGAAAGACGGUCUUGCUGUCACUUAUAGAUGGAUCCGCGCUGCAUUAGCUAGUUGGUAAGGUAACGGCUUACCAAGGCAACGAUGCAUAGCCGACCUGAGAGGGUGAUCGGCCACACUGGAACUGAGACACGGUCAAGACUCCUACGGGAGGCAGCAGUAGGGAAUCUUACGCAAUGGGCGAAAGCAUGACGGAGCAACGGCGAGUGAGUGAUGAAGGUCUUCGGAUCGUAAAACUCUGUUAUUAGGGAAGAACAGAUGUGUAAGUAACUGUGCACAUCUUGACGGUACCGAAUCAGAAAGCCACGGCUAACUACGUG